GGACGUCUCUGGUGCUUGAAGUUGCUCUAAACUUGUUCAGUUAACUGGGCAGGACUGGACACGUGGGCCAGAAGAUUGUCUUUGGACUUCUUUUUUAAUUGUGGUAAAAUUCACUAAUAUGAAACAUUCCUGUUUCCUCUAGUCCUUCUUCAUUCCCUCCCAACUCUGAGGGGUGCUGGACCUAGUUCCUAGGGACUUUUGCAAAAGUAGAAAAUGAGUCUCUCUCUCUCUCUCUCUUUCUCUCUCUCCUGGGUUUUCCUACGUAGGACAGCCUGGCUUCAAACCUCACAGAGAUCUGCUUGUUUCUGCCUCCUGGGGGCUAGGAUUUAAGGCUUGUGUGCCACCACUCCCGGCUGAGCCACCACUUUCUUGGCAAAAGUAGAGGAAGGGCUACUUUGUGCAGAGGGGGACAAAGACUCAUUCCUGGUCCUCCUGCCUCAGCCAACUAAGUGCUAGUGCAACAAGAACACACUACCACAUCUGGCUGGAAGAUUACAACUUAAUGAUCAAGAUUGGAAGGGGUCCCCAGGAAAAGACAUAUUACCUGCAUGCCUCAUUACAGCUGCA
rnacentral:lncRNA from 1 species